GAUGAACGCUGGCGGCGUGCCUAAUACAUGCAAGUCGAGCCAACAGACGAGGAGCUUGCUCCUCUGACGUUAGCGGCGGACGGGUGAGUAACACGUGGAUAACCUACCUAUAAGACUGGGAUAACUUCGGGAAACCGGAGCUAAUACCGGAUAAUAUAUUGAACCGCAUGGUUCAAUAGUGAAAGACGGUUUUGCUGUCACUUAUAGAUGGAUCCGCGCCGCAUUAGCUAGUUGGUAAGGUAACGGCUUACCAAGGCGACGAUGCGUAGCCGACCUGAGAGGGUGAUCGGCCACACUGGAACUGAGACACGGUCCAGACUCCUACGGGAGGCAGCAGUAGGGAAUCUUCCGCAAUGGGCGAAAGCCUGACGGAGCAACGCCGCGUGAGUGAUGAAGGUCUUCGGAUCGUAAAACUCUGUUAUUAGGGAAGAACAAAUGUGUAAGUAACUAUGCACGUCUUGACGGUACCUAAUCAGAAAGCCACGGCUAACUACGUG
rnacentral:rRNA from 1 species